UACGGGGGGGGUAAGCGUUGUCCGGAAUUAUUGGGCGUAAAGGGCUCGUAGGCGGUUUGUCGCGUCGGGAGUGAAAACACCGGGCUUAACUCGGUGCUUGCUUUCGAUACGGGCAGACUAGAGGUAUUCAGGGGAGAACGGAAUUCCUGGUGUAGCGGUGAAAUGCGCAGAUAUCAGGAGGAACACCGGUGGCGAAGGCGGUUCUCUGGGAAUAUCCUGACGCUGAGGAGCGAAAGUGUGGGGAGCGAACAGG
rnacentral:rRNA from 1 species